GCUAUUUGACCAAGCGAUUCAUUCUGAUUUCAACACUGAAGUCGAACAUAUGUAAAAAGCUGAAGCUCUGAGCUUUACAAGUGAACGCAAGAAAAAACGAAAAACACUGUGCAACAACUAAAAUUCUCUACAUCAAAAUGCUUGUGUAGCUAUAGCUAUUGGAGGGUGCACAGCGAAAUGGGCGCUUCACAAUUAUAUUUGUGUACAUACUUAUAGUACGAAUACUCACCACCAGAAGAAGAGGCAGGCAGAAGCAGCAACAAAAGGAACACCAUUCCAACGCCCCUGCCAAGGCCAUCGCCCGAGUCCGAGUCAACGUCUGAUAGCUGCGCACGACCAUUCGGUUGCUCGUAAACCAUUAACAAAAGAGUGAGGGUGGCAAAUAAAAAGCAAUGGCGGGGGUGCGGAACAGAAAGAGGGACUGAGCCGUCAUGUUGAUGCCCAUACAGGCAUGACUACUUUAGGAAUCUGAAUACUAUUUUUAAAAUAUCGACCCACAGUCAUUUACAUAUGCACACGCAUUUAUGAAUAAAGAAAAAUGCAUUUUCUGCCCAUAGUCCACUGACUAUUCCUUUUACCUAUUGUUGUGAGAGAAAAAAUAUAAUAAAAAUAAACAAAUAUAUAAAUAUAACAAGCAUAAAAUAUUCAAACCGAUAAAUCAAUAAAUUCGGCACUGUACGUUUGCCUAUCUUUCUGUCUAUCUAUCUGUAUGAAAGCGUGAUCUCAGAAACUAUGAGAAUUAGAUGCAUCAAGUGUUUAUGUAGUUACCGAUAAUUCACCCCGCCCCUUUAAAUUAAUAGUAUUUCUGUCUGUUUUUCAUAGCAUACUCAGUUAUUUUUGUGUAUUCGUUCAAAUAUUGCAUGCAUUUAUUAAGAAAAGUAAGGUUUUCUAAAAUCUGUUCUUUCGGAUUGUUUUAAUUCAAUAUCGCAACGCAAAAGCAGAUAAUGAAUAUCCUCUAAUAUAAAUAUGAUUAAAUGUUUCUAAAUGUAUCUACUCAUCACAACUAUGUCUAUAUAUAAAACUGUUUGUCCUGUUGAUUGAUUGGUGAUAAACACACAGACCAAACCGUAAGAGCUAGGAAUCUGAAAUUUUCACUGUAGUUGCCCUACGAAAAAAUCGCGAAAAACAUUUGUAUGAAACUUUUUUGCUUGCCAUCCGAUCGUCCUUAAACUCAAUUAGAAAGAUCUUUAUUAUAAUUUAUUUGAGGGGUG